rnacentral:rRNA from 1 species
UACGUAGGGUGCAGGCGUUUAAUCGGAAUUACUGGGCGUAAAGCGUGCGCAGGCGGUCUGCUAAGAGAGAUGUGAAAUCCCCGGGCUUAACCUGGGAACUGCGUUUCUAACUGGCAGGCUAGAGUGUGGCAGAGGGGGGGUGGAAUUCCACGUGUAGCAGUGAAAUGCGUAGAGAUGUGGAGGAACACCGAUGGCGAAGGCAGCCCCCUGGGCUAACACUGACGCUCAUGCACGAAAGCGUGGGGAGCAAACAGG